UACAUCCUGCGAUGUACGUUUCGGUCUUUCGUUGUUUUGAACCAAUGAUGAAGUCUCGGGAGAUCUACAUUAGGCGCCGCGAUGAAAAGCCCUGUCUAUAUGACAUGGGGACUUCAAAGCCCGUCUUGCGGUCACCCACCUGCGAUAGCAGGUUCGAGACAAUGUUACCGGACGGCAGAGCGGGAUCUCU
rfam:Saccharibacillus sacchari DSM 19268 genomic scaffold SacsacDRAFT_Scaffold1.1, whole genome shotgun sequence.